UACGUAGGGUGCGAGCGUUGUCCGGAAUUAUUGGGCGUAAAGAGCUUGUAGGCGGUUUGUUGCGUCUGCCGUGAAAGUCCGGGGCUCAACUCCGGAUCUGCGGUGGGUACGGGCAGACUAGAGUGAUGUAGGGGAGCGUGGAAUUCCUGGUGUAGCGGUGAAAUGCGCAGAUAUCAGGAGGAACACCAGCGGCGAAGGCGGCGCUCUGGGCCGGUACUGACACUGAGGAGCGAAAGCGUGGGUAGCAAACAGG
rnacentral:rRNA from 1 species